rnacentral:rRNA from 1 species
CCUACGGGUGGCUGCAGUGGGGGAUAUUGCACAAUGGGGGAAACCCUGAUGCAGCGACGCCGCGUGUGGGAAGACGGUCCUCUGGAUUGUAAACCACUGUCCCCAGGGACGACGAUGACGGUACCUGGGGAGGACGCUCCGGCUAACUACGUGCCAGCAGCCGCGGUAAUACGUAGGGAGCGAGCGUGGUCCGGAAUUACUGGGUGUAAAGGGAGCGUAGGCGGGGAUGGAAGUUGGGUGUCAAAACUACCGGCUCAACUGGUAGUCGCACUCAAAACUGCAGCUCUUGAGUGAAGUAGAGGCAGGCAGAAUUCCUAGUGUAGCGGUGAAAUGCGUAGAUAUUAGGAGGAACACCAGUGGCGAAGGCGGCCUGCUGGGCUUUUACUGACGCUGAGGCUCGAAAGUGUGGGGAGCAAACAGGAUUAGAUACCCUUGUAGUC